rnacentral:rRNA from 1 species
AAUCAACGCUGGCGGCGUGCCUAACACAUGCAAGUCGAACGAGAAAGUGGAGCAAUCCACAAGUAAAGUGGCGCACGGGUGAGUAACACGUGACUAACCUACCCUUGAGUGGGGGAUAACCUAGGGAAACCUGGGCUAAUACCGCAUAAUACCUAUGGGUCAAAGGAGCAAUUCGCUUUUGGAGGGGGUCGCGGCAGAUUAGUUAGUUGGCAGGGUAAUGGCCUACCAAGACGAUGANCUGUAUCCGGCCUGAGAGGGCGCACGGACACACUGGAACUGAAACACGGUCCAGACUCCUACGGGAGGCAGCAGUGGGGAAUUUUGCGCAAUGGGGGAAACCCUGACGCAGCAACGCCGCGUGGAGGAUGAAGACCCUUGGGUCGUAAACUCCUUUCGAUCGGGACGAUAAUGACGGUACCGGAAGAAGAAGCCCCGGCUAACUUCGUGCCAGCAGCCGCCGCGGU